AGUGAACGCUGGCGGUAGGCCUAACACAUGCAAGUCGAACGGCAGCACAGUAAGAGCUUGCUCUUACGGGUGGCGAGUGGCGGACGGGUGAGGAAUACAUCGGAAUCUACUUUUUCGUGGGGGAUAUCGUAGGGAAACUUACGCUAAUACCGCAUACGACCUACGGGUGAAAGCAGGGGAUCUUCGGACCUUGCCCGAUUGAAUGAGCCGAUGUCGGAUUAGCUAGUUGGCGGGGUAAGGGCCCACCAAGGCGACGAUCCGUAGCUGGUCUGAGAGGAUGAUCAGCCACACUGGAACUGAGACACGGUCCAGACUCCUACGGGAGGCAGCAGUGGGGAAUAUUGGACAAUGGGCGCAAGCCUGAUCCAGCCAUACCGCGUGGGUGAAGAAGGUCUUCGGGUUGUAAAGCCCUUUUGUUGGGAAAGAAAAGCAGCAGGUGAAUACCCCGCUGUUCUGACGGUACCCAAAGAAUAAGCACCGGCUAACUUCGUG
rnacentral:rRNA from 1 species